UACGUAGGUGGCAAGCGUUGUCCGAUUUACUGGGCGUAAAGGAUGCGUAGGCGGACAUUUAAGUCAGAUGUGAAAUACCCGAGCUUAACUUGGGUGCUGCAUUUGAAACUGGGUGUCUAGAGUGCAGGAGAGGUAAGUGGAAUUCCUAGUGUAGCGGUGAAAUGCGUAGAGAUUAGGAAGAACACCAGUGGCGAAGGCGACUUACUGGACUGUAACUGACGCUGAGGCAUGAAAGCGUGGGGAGCAAACAGG
rnacentral:rRNA from 1 species